AUGGAAGAAGGGAUAUCACAGCUGAUGUCAUAUCGAUUCUGGCUGAAAGCAGAGAAUACCAGAAAGAUGUUUACCUGUGUAUUAUUGACUAUGCAAAGGCAUUUGACUGCUUGGGUCAUAACAAAUUAUGGAUAACAUUGCGAAGAGUGGGAAUCCCAGAACACUCAAUUGUGCUGAUGAGGAACCUGAUCAAGAGGUAGACGUUCAAACAGAAAAAGGUGAUACUACGUGGUUUAAAGUCAGGAAAGGUGUGUGUCAGGGUUGUAUCCUUUCACAAUACUUAUUUAAUCUGCAAAUAAUCUGAGAAGCUAGACUAUACGAAGAACACGACAUCAGGAUUGGAGGAAGACUCAUUAACAACCUGCAUUUUGCAGAUGACACAACCCCGCUUGCUAAAAGAUAAGAGGUCUUGAAGCACUUACUGAUGAAGAUCAAAGACCGCGGCCUUCAGUAGAGAUUGCACCUCAACAUGAAGAAAACAAAAAUCCUCACAACUGGGCCAAUGAGCAACAUCGUGAUAAACGGAGAAAAGAUUGAAGUUGUCAAGGAUUUCAUCUUAUUUGGAUCCACAAUCAACACGCAUGGACACAGCAGUUAAGAAAUCAAAAGAUGCAUUGCAUUAGGGAAACUGGCUGCAAAAGACCUCUAAAGUGUUGAAAAGCAAAGACAUCACCUUGAAAACGAAGAUGCAACUGAUCCAAGCCACAGUGUUUUCAGUGGCCUCGUAUGUGUGGGAAAGCUGGCUGAUGAAUAAGGAAGACUGUAGAAGAACUGAUGCCUUUUAAUUGUCGUAUUGGUGAAGAAUUCUGAAUACACCAUGAAUUGCCAAAAGAAUGAAAAAAUCUAUCUUGAAAGAAGUAUAACCAGAACGUACCCUAGGCUAGAAGCAAAGAUGGCCAGACUACAUCCUACAUACUUUGGACCUGUUUUCAGGAGGAAUUAGUCCAUGGAGAAGAAUAUCAUGUACUAUUUCUUUGGACUAUCUAAGACCUGAAGAACAAAAUCUCAUGGUCCAAAUUAACGUUUUUACUUACUAAUUUUCAAAUGUAGCCCUGGUGGAACAUUUGGUUAAGAGCUUGGCUGAAACUAAAAGGUCUCAACCAGCCUCUCCUUAGAAGCCCUGCUGUGCAGUUCUAUUCUGUCCAAUAGGGUCACUGUUAGUUAAAAUUUAAUCCACAGCAAUGAGUUAUUUAAUUUUCAAAUACAAAUUUGUUGUGUUAAUGUCUAAAUUCUAAAUUAAAUUUUAUUUUAUAAACUACCUGUUUUAUAAAUUUACUUUCUAUUAUUCAAAUUUAUUGUUAUGGUAGAAUCAAAUUUAAAAAGUGACAUAAUUUUAUAUCCAGGCAAAAUGAAAUGGCAAUAACUAAGUGGAGUGCAAAAAUGGAAGCCUGCAGGAGAUAAAAAGAAAAUGAUUUGUGAAUCCCUAAAGACAAUCCCCAAAUUCCUUUUUAGAAUGUAAUAAAUCAGAAGAGACUUCUUCCAUUAAAGAAGCAUUAGAAGAAACAAGUAAAUGACAGAAAUGCUCCAGAAGUAUUGAGUGCCAGGAAUCAAUUUUACAUAACCACCAUCACUGACACACUUGAAUCUUGCAUGAAAUGAAGGGCAAAAUGAAAUGGCAAUAACUAAGUGGAGUGCAAAAAUGGAAGCCUGCAGGAGAUAAAAAGAAAAUGAUUUGUGAAUCCCUAAAGACAAUCCCCAAAUUCCUUUUUAGAAUGUAAUAAAUCAGAAGAGACUUCUUCCAUUAAAGAAGCAUUAGAAGAAACAAGUAAAUGACAGAAAUGCUCCAGAAGUAUUGAGUGCCAAGAAUCAAUUUUACAUAACCA